AAGACUGACCUCAUCUUGAUCUAGGUAUAUCUUACCAGAGGUUGGUAAUUCAAGACCCGCUAUCAUUCUAAGAGUAGUAGUUUUCCCACAUCCAGAAGGGCCAAGUAGUACAAAAAAUUCUUUAUUAUUGAUUGUAAGAUUAGAGUUUUUAACAGCCGUAAAGUCAGCAAAUGAUUUUUGAAGGUUUUCUAUUUUAAUAGUUGCCAUUUUUAAUCCGGAAAGUGACUAGUGAUUACAAAACCAAUAGUUCCUACUAAAAUUACAAUAAAAGAAUAAGUAUACAUCCACAUAGCAAAGGGUUGCAUAAGCAUAAAAACACCAAUUAAAAUCAAAGCAGUGGAAAUAUUUUCCCAAAUACCUCUUUUAAAAAUUCUUCUCAAUAAACUUUUAUUUUCCUGUUUCAUUAUUUUCUAACCGCUCCAAAUGUAAUACCUCUCAGUAAGUGUUUGCGAAGAAUUACUGUAAAAAUCAUAACAGGAAGUAGAAACAAUGUUGUACCUGCAGCGAUUGCUGGCCAAUCUAUGCCUCCUUCACCAAUGAUAGUAGGAAUAAAUGGCGGCGCUGUUUGGGCAUUAAACUGUGUAAGUAAAACAGCAAAAGCAUAUUCAUUCCAAGAGAAAAUCAUACAAAAGAUUGCUGUUGCAGCAAUACCCGUAGUAGCUUGAGGUAGUACAAUUUUAAAAAAAGCCUGGAAUCUUGUGUAAGUGAUCUCGUUUUGAGCAGGUUGAAGAAAGCGUAAAGUCUUUUGGAGGACCGAACCGACGUCUGUAGCAAUAGGCGCGGAUGACUUGAUACGAGGGGUGAAAGGCCAAUCAAACUUAGAAAUAGCUGGUUCUUCGCGAAAUUUAUUGAGGUAAAGCGUCUAUUAAAUCUUUCUGGGGGUAGAGCACUUAUUGAGCUAUGGGGGUCCAAAACCUUACUGCUCUCAAGAAAACUCCGAAUACCAGUAAAGUAUAAUAGGCAGACAGACAAGCAGUGCUAAGGUUGCUUGUCGAAAGGGAAACAGCCCAGCCUGGCCGCUAAGGUCCCAAAGCAUUCUGUGAGUGGGAAAAGAUGUGAUACAACUAUGACAACUAGGAGGUUGGCUUGGAAGCAGCCAUUCUAUCAUGAAAGCGUAAUAGCUCACUAGUCGAGUUGUCUUGCGCUGAAAAUGUAUCGGGGCUGAACAGAAUCACCGAAGCGCCAGUUUUUAGGUAGCGAAGCGUUUUGUGCGCCAAUGAACACAUAUCGUAAGAUGUGUGGAAGGUCUCAAAAGUGACUAUGCUGACAUGAGUAACGAAAAAUCAUGUAAAGCCAUGAUCGCCGUAAGUUCAAGGGUUUCUGCUAACUGGGAAUCAGUGCAGAGUUAAGUUCGGUCCCUAAGAGUUUGUAUACACUUAUACGCUCGAUGGAGGACGUUUAUGCAAGACGGCUAUCUAAUACACAAAUACUGCAAAAUGGAUACGGUGUAUGUGUGUCAUAGUCCAGGAAAAAAGCAUUAAUGCAAGACCGUACCCGAAACCGACACAGGUGAACGAGUCGAGUAGACUCAGGCGUUGAGUGAACCAUAUUGAAGGAACUCGGCAAAAUAAUCCCGUACCUUAGGAAGAAGGGAUACCGAAAGGUGACACAAAAAUGGGGGUGACGACUUUUUACUAAAAAAUUAGGACUCUGCAAAAUGGUAACAUGCUGUAUAGGGUCUGACGUCUGCCCGGUGCUAGAAGUCUAAAAGGCGCAUUGCAAGAUGCAAAUGGAAAGCCUAGUAAACGGCGGUUGUAACUAUAACAAUCAUAAAGUAGCGAAAUUCAUUGCCAGCUAAUUCCUGGCCUGCAUGAAAGACGUAACGAUUGCCCCACUGUCUCCAGUAUGGACUCAGUGAAAUUGAAUUCUCCGUGCAGAUGCGGAGUACGUGCCCCAAGACGAGAAGACCCUGUGCAUCUUUACUGUACAUUUGCAUUGACAAAACGAUGAGCAUGCGUAGGAUAGGUGGGAGUACAUACAUCCUUGAAAUACCACCCUUGCCAUGGAUUUUGUCUUACACCAAUUUUGGUGCACAAUGCAUGUGAGGCAGUUUGACUGGGGCGGUCGCCUCCUAAAAGGUAACGGAGGCGUGCGAAGGUAAACUCAAUGCAAGACGGAAACUUGCUGAAGAGCGUAAUGGUAUAUGUUUGCCUGACUGUAAGAUGUACACAUCAAACAGAGACGAAAGUCGGCCAUAAUGAUCCACAAGUGCCGCGUGGAAGGGCUUGUGCUUAACGAAUCAAAGAUACGCCAGGGAUAACAGGCUGAUAAUUCCCAAGAGUCCUUAUCGACGGAAUUGUUUGGCACCUCGAUGUUGACUGAUCAUAUCCUGGGGCUGAAGAAGGUCCCAAGGGUUCGGCUGUUCGCCGAAUAAAAUGGUACCUGAGUUGAGUUUAGAACGUCGUGAGACAGUUUGGAUUCUACCUGGGGUGCGCGUAAAAGAAUUGUGAAAACCACGUCCUUGUACGAGAGGACCGGACGUGUACAACCACUGGUCGAGUAAUUGUUUUGCCGAAAGCAUUGUUACCAGGCUACGUUGUGACAGGAAAAGAACUGAAAGCAUCUCAAGUUCGAAACUUUUUUCGAGACAAAUUCUUUAAAAUGUCGUGAAAGAUUAUCACGUUAAUAGCCGAGCUGUCUAUACCAUGAAAAUGAGUAAUGCAUGCUCGGACUAAUCUUUGUUAUUUAAUUCC
rnacentral:rRNA from 1 species